GGGAUUGUAGCUCAGUGGUAUAGUGCUUGCCUAGCAUGUAUGAGGCACUGGGUUCAAUCCUCAGCACCCCA
rnacentral:tRNA from 1 species